rnacentral:rRNA from 1 species
GGGUGGUAAUGCCGGAUGCUCCAUCACACCGCAUGGUGUGUUGGGAAAGCCUUUGCGGCAUGGGAUGGGGUCGCGUCCUAUCAGCUUGAUGGCGGGGUAACGGCCCACCAUGGCUUCGACGGGUAGCCGGCCUGAGAGGGCGACCGGCCACAUUGGGACUGAGAUACGGCCCAGACUCCUACGGGAGGCAGCAGUGGGGAAUAUUGCACAAUGGGCGCAAGCCUGAUGCAGCGACGCCGCGUGAGGGAUGGAGGCCUUCGGGUUGUAAACCUCUUUUGUUAGGGAGCAAGGCAUUUUGUGUUGAGUGUACCUUUCGAAUAAGCACCGGCUAACUACGUGCCAGCAGCCGCGGUAAUACGUAGGGUGCAAGCGUUAUCCGGAAUUAUUGGGCGUAAAGGGCUCGUAGGCGGUUCGUCGCGUCCGGUGUGAAAGUCCAUCGCUUAACGGUGGAUCCGCGCCGGGUACGGGCGGGCUUGAGUGCGGUAGGGGAGACUGGAAUUCCCGGUGUAACGGUGGAAUGUGUAGAUA